rnacentral:rRNA from 1 species
CCUUAGAGUUUGAUCCUGGCUCAGAACGAACGCUGGCGGCAGGCUUAACACAUGCAAGUCGAACGCCCCUUUCGGGGGGAGUGGCAGACGGGUGAGUAACACGUGGGAACGUACCUCUUUGUUCGGAAUAACUCAUGGAAACGUGAGCUAAUACCGGAUACGCCCUUUUGGGGAAAGAUUUAUCGCAGAGAGAUCGGCCCGCGUCUGAUUAGCUAGUUGGUGAGGUAAUGGCUCACCAAGGCGACGAUCAGUAGCUGGUCUGAGAGGAUGAUCAGCCACACUGGGACUGAGACACGGCCCAGACUCCUACGGGAGGCAGCAGUGGGGAAUAUUGGACAAUGGGGGCAACCCUGAUCCAGCCAUGCCGCGUGAGUGAUGAAGGCCUUAGGGUUGUAAAGCUCUUCUAUCCGGGAAGAUAAUGACUGUACCGGAAGAAUAAGCCCCGGCUAACUUCGUGCCAGCAGCCGCGGUAAUACGAAGGGGGCUAGCGUUGUUCGGAAUCACUGGGCGUAAAGGGCGCGUAGGCGGACGAUUAAGUCAGGGGUGAAAUCCCGGGGCUCAACCUCGGAAUUGCCCUUGAUACUGGUUGUCUUGAGAUUGGAAGAGGUAAGUGGAAUUGCGAGUGUAGAGGUGAAAUUCGUAGAUAUUCGCAAGAACACCGGUGGCGAAGGCGACUUACUGGUCCAUAUCUGACGCUGAGGCGCGAAAGCGUGGGGAGCAAAAAGGAUUAGAUACCCUGGUAGUCCACGCCGUAAACGAUGGAUGCCAGCUGUUGGGGAGCAUGCUCUUCCGUGGCGCAGUCAAC